UACAGAGGUCUCAAGCGUUGUUCGGAUUCAUUGGGCGUAAAGGGUGCGUAGGCGGCGCGGUAAGUCGGGUGUGAAAUCUCGGAGCUUAACUCCGAAACUGCAUUCGAUACUGCCGUGCUUGAGGACUGGAGAGGAGACUGGAAUUUACGGUGUAGCGGUGAAAUGCGUAGAGAUCGGGAGGAACACCCGUGGCGAAGGCGGCCACCUGGGCCGACCCUGACGCUGAGGCGCGAAGGCGUGGGGAGCGAACGGG
rnacentral:rRNA from 1 species